rnacentral:rRNA from 1 species
CUACUCUUGACAUCCACGGAAUUCGGCAGAGAUGCCUUAGAGCCUUCGGGAACCGUGAGACAGGUGCUGCAUGGCUGUCGUCAGCUCGUGUUGUGAAAUGUCGGGUUAAGUCCCGCAACGAGCGCAACCCUUAUCGAUAGUUGCUAGCGGUUCGGCCGAGCACUCUAUUAAGACUGCCGUUGACAAAACGGAGGAAGGUGGGGAUGACGUCAAGUCCUCAUGGCCCUUAUGGGUAGGGCUUCACACGUGCUACAAUGGUCGGUACAAAGCGCUGCAAACUCGCGAGAGGGAGCCAAUCGCAAAAAGCUUGUCUCAGUUCGGAUUGGAGUCUGCAACUCGACUCCAUGAAGCUGGAAUCGCUAGUAAUCGCAGAUCAGCACGCUGCGGUGAAUACGUUC